rnacentral:rRNA from 1 species
AGUUAAUAGUACGUGAAACUGAAUAAGUGGAAGCGUAUAGAGUUGUCGAAAGAUGGUAAUAAUAAGUUGUAUGGUAGUGUAACAGUUUGCAAAAUGUUUCCGUAUGGUUCAUUUUGUGAAUGUAGUUUGCUGCUAUGCAAUGCACUUGUUGCCAUUGUGCUGAUACAAUUGAUUAAAACUUUUGAAAUAAUAUUAGAGGGCAUUCUUUACGGAAUGUAUCCUGAUCUUAUGGAUAAAGUAUUUGGUUAAUUGCAAAUCUGAAGUAUAAAAGAGGGUGUAAGUAUGGUAGUGAAUUAGAGUUAACGCUUGCGUUCGCUUUCUUACAUUGCUAUAUCUUAUACAUUAUGAUAUGCUUCAAUAUCAGUAUAAAAGACAAUCACCUAUAUGUCCCGUCUUGAAACACGGACCAAGGAGUUUAUCGUAUGUGCGAGUCAUUAAGUGUAUAAAACUUAUUGGCGUAAUGAAAGUAAAGUGUUCUUUUUUGAGCAUGAUAUAUGAUUAUCUAAUCUACGGAGAAGAUAAGCAGUAUAGUCCCAUCCAAUUUGUUUACAAAUGGGUGGAGAUAG